rnacentral:rRNA from 1 species
UACGGGAGGUAGCAGUGGGGAAUAUUGCACAAUGGGCGCAAGCCUGAUGCAGCCAUGCCGCGUGUAUGAAGAAGGCCUUCGGGUUGUAAAGUACUUUCAGUCGUGAGGAAGGUGUUAAGGUUAAUAACCUUAGCAAUUGACGUUAGCGACAGAAGAAGCACCGGCUAACUCCGUGCCAGCAGCCGCGGUAAUACGGAGGGUGCGAGCGUUAAUCGGAAUUACUGGGCGUAAAGGGCACGCAGGCGGUUAAUUAAGUUGGAUGUGAAAUCCCCGGGCUUAACCUGGGAAUGGCAUUCAAGACUGGUUAGCUAGAGUCUUGUAGAGGGGGUAGAAUUCCAUGUGUAGCGGUGAAAUGCGUAGAGAUGUGGAGGAAUACCGGUGGCGAAGGCGGCCCCUGGACAAAGACUGACGCUCAUGUGCGAAAGCGUGGGGAGCGAAACAGGGAUUAGAUACC